rnacentral:rRNA from 1 species
CAAACCAAAGCUGGCGCCGGCGCACGGGUGAGUAACACGUAUCCAACCUGCCUCAUACUCGGGGAUAGCCUUUCGAAAGAAAGAUUAAUAUCCGAUAGCAUAUAUUUCCCGCAUGGGUUUUAUAUUAAAGAAAUUCGGUAUGAGAUGGGGAUGCGUUCCAUUAGUUUGUUGGGGGGGUAACGGCCCACCAAGACUACGAUGGAUAGGGGUUCUGAGAGGAAGGUCCCCCACAUUGGAACUGAGACACGGUCCAA